rnacentral:rRNA from 1 species
GACGUAGGGCGCGAGCGUUGUCCGGAUUUAUUGGGCGUAAAGAGCUCGUAGGCGGCUUGUCGCGUCGAAUGUGAAAACCCGAGGCUCAACUUCGGGCUUGCAUUCGAUACGGGCAGGCUAGAGUUCGGUAGGGGAGACUGGAAUUCCUGGUGUAGCGGUGAAAAUGCGCAGAUAUCAGGAGGAACACCGGUGGCGAAGGCGGGUCUCUGGGCCGAUACUGACGCUGAGGAGCGAAAGCGUGGGGAGCGAACAGG